rnacentral:rRNA from 1 species
UACGAGAGGCCCAAACGUUAUUCGGAAUCACUGGGCUUAAAGCGCUCGUAGGCGGCUUGAUAAGCAGGGGGUGAAAGCCCUCGGCUCAACCGAGGAAUUGCGCUCUGAACUGUCGUGCUUGAGGAACCUAGAGGUGAGCAGAACUGAUGGUGGAGCGGUGAAAUGCGUUGAUAUCAUCAGGAAUACCGGAGGCGAAGGCGGCUCACUGGGGGUUUUCUGACGCUGAGGAACGAAAGCCAGGGGAGCGAACGGG